UACGUAGGGAGCAAGCGUUGUCCGGAAUCAUUGGGCGUAAAGCGCGCGUAGGUGGCUCUAUAAGUCCGUUGUGAAAGUCAAAGGCUCAACCUUUGAAAGCCGAUGGAUACUGUAGAGCUAGAGUCCGGAAGAGGCGAGUGGAAUUCCUGGUGUAGCGGUGGAAUGCGUAGAUAUCGUAAGGAAGACCAGUGGCGAAGGCGGGUCUCUGGACAGUUCCUGACGCUGAGGCACGAAGGUCAGGGGAGCAAACGGG
rnacentral:rRNA from 1 species